rnacentral:rRNA from 1 species
AUUGAACGCUGGCGGCAGGCCUAACACAUGCAAGUCGAGCGAGCUGCGGACGGGUGAGUAAUGUCUGGGAAACUGCCUGAUGGAGGGGGUUAACUACUGGAAACGGUAGCUAAUACCGCAUACCAUCAGAUGUGCCCAUAUGGGAUUAGCUAGUAGGUGGGGUAACGGCUCACCUAGGCGACGAUCCCUAGCUGGUCUGAGAGGAUGACCAGCCACACUGGAACUGAGACACGGUCCAGACUCCUACGGGAGGCAGCAGUGGGGAAUAUUGCACAAUGGGAGCAAGCCUGGUGCAGCGAUGCCGCGUGUGUGAAGAAGACCUUGGGGUGGUAAAGCACUAACAGCGGGGGGGCGUUACCCGGAGAAGAAGCACCGGCGAACUCCGUGCCAGCAGCCGCGGUAAUUG